rnacentral:rRNA from 1 species
CACGUAGGGGGCAAGCGUUGUCCGGAUUUAUUGGGCGUAAAGGGCUCGUAGGCGGCUUAGUAAGUCGGGUGUGAAACCUCCAGGCUCAACCUGGAGACGCCACCCGAUACUGCUGUGGCUAGAGUCCGGUAGGGGAGCGUGGAAUUCCUGGUGUAGCGGUGAAAUGCGCAGAUAUCAGGAGGAACACCAGCGGCGAAGGCGGCGCUCUGGGCCGGUACUGACGCUGAGGAGCGAAAGCGUGGGGAGCAAACAGG